rnacentral:lncRNA from 1 species
GCCCCUCUGCCCGCUCCCAGGUGCUCAGCCCCUUCCCUCCCUCCCGCAAUCCGGUACCCUAGUCAAAGAGUGGAACACUCAGAAGAUUAUGGCUUUCAAUGCUUUAUUGGGAUUGCAAGCGUUAACAGGUUAGUGACAAAAACCCAAGCAUGGGAUUUUGCCAGAAAUAUUAGCGUUAAAAGAGCUGAGUUGAGUCAAACACGGGCCGCAAGGUGGACUGAGGCGGCAGGUACAGGUGACAUUCAGUGUUUGGCGUGGGGGUCUUCAGUUGAUGGCAGAGGAGGGGACCCAAGAGGGGGCCCCCGCUGAAGACAUUGGGGACACGGGGAGGAGAUAAGAUGGAGAGCUGCAAACCUGGGGGCGCAAGGGGUCCGUCGGCAGGUGCCCCGGGGACACCCACUCUGGUGAGGCCGAAUGUAACACUGGGUGGGUGGGCGUCCCGACGAAUGGGCAGGUAAUUUGGGGUGCCUCGAAGUGUUUUGGAUCUCAGGCCAAUGUGGGUUCUCCAAUUGUGACAAUUUGGCUCUUUGGGCUUCUGUCCAAUGUUCCGAAUGGCCCACUCUCAGGGCACUUGCCGAGGGACCCUCUGCGACUGAGGUGGGCUGGCAUGGACGACCCCCGGGGUCAUGCCAGCCCCGUCGCCAGGACCCAGCAACCUGGUCGAUGGGCAGACCUGGCAGCUCUCCUGCUCUGUGGGCUCAGACCUGCCUGACCUCCCUACUCUCCGACCUCACCCCACCUUGCCCCCAGGAGGUCCUACAGAGCUUCGGACCUCCUGGAGACAAGGCAGGGUGCUGAGGGGCGGGCAAGAUGCCACCGAGGGAGAGCGGAGGGCUCCUCAAGUGUGCGGAAGGCGGCCACCCUGCACCAGCCUGAUGGAAUCCUCUGUUUACACACCUGCAACCCCUUCCCCUCUGGCCAGCCUUGGGCCAGCCGGAAGCCCCCUCCUGUGGCCUCCGAGCACCCUCCUGACACCUGAGGAGACCCUGCCCACUCCCCCCUCCGCCCUCAGGACCUCUGGGGACCAGCCACUGUCCCCAGAAGCCAGGUCGGACAGUGACCUUCUCCACUCCCCUCUGACUUCUCCAAGGGGGCUCAGUGGCCAGUGCCCCCCAGGAGGCUCCACCCUCAACCCAACACAAGCAACAGGGACAGAUAAAAACAAAAUUCAAUCAGGGCGAUAA